GUGGGGGUGGCCCAGCCUGGUAAGGCGAUAGACUGCUAAUCUAUUGUCCCAAAAGGACCCGCGAGUUCGAAUCUCGCCCCUCACGCCA
rnacentral:tRNA from 1 species